UACGAGGGGGGCGAGCGUUGUUCGGAAUUAUUGGGCGUAAAGGGUGCGUAGGCGGUUCCGCAAGUCCUGUGUGAAAUCUUCGGGCUCAACUCGAAGUCUGCACGGGAAACUGCGGGGCUUGAGUGUGGGAGAGGUGAGUGGAAUUCCCGGUGUAGCGGUGAAAUGCGCAGAUAUCGGGAGGAACACCGGUGGCGAAGGCGGUUCUCUGGGCCUGUACUGACGCUGAGGAGCGAAAGCGUGGGGAGCAAACAGG
rnacentral:rRNA from 1 species